CUACAGUCCCGUCAUAGAAACAGAGGAUCGAUGCUGGGGCACGAGAUGGAAAGCCCAAUUACUCCCUCCCUGCGGACGACCACCUGAGCAGACAUUUCCCUUCAGCCCCAGCAGCAGUUCCGCGUGAGAGACCCCUCCUGUCAGCCCUCACCUGCGUCAGGACAAAAGCUCUGAGGCAGCAUCUUUAUCUUCACUCAGAGAUGGAAAGAGGGACACACAAACAAACAGUAUGCAAACAACAGAAUCUCAAGCAGUGGUGGGCAAAGAAGUGGAAGAUACACAGAAUCUAGCAAAGCACUACAACCUCAGUUCUAGAAAGAUGCACCCAACCUGCUACUGAAGGCAACCAGCUUUCUGAAGACAGCAUCCGGUCCACAGCCCAUGCUGCUCUGUAAAGAACCCAAAGCGGGGUCACUAAUUCAGGGUCAACUUUCAGGAGCAUCUGUAGAACAGCUAAGUCACAAGAAAGACGAAUGGGACUCCAGAGUCACGACCAACUGCUCUAGGGACACCCAGCUGAAGGCCAGCCUCACUCAGUCCCCAAUGGCCAGAGCUCCGUGCGACCUAGCCAGUCCUUGGGGAGGAACUAAAAGGGUAUGA
rnacentral:lncRNA from 1 species